AUUUAAAUAGUUUAUGAAAAAUAAUGAUUUGUGGUGUCAUAGAAAUAUUUUGUAUUUUAAAUU
rnacentral:tRNA from 1 species